rnacentral:tRNA from 2 species
GGGGCCUUUAGCUCAGUUGGUCAGAGCAUCGGACUCAUAAUCCGUGGGUCGUCGGUUCGAGCCCGACCCGCCCCACCA